rnacentral:rRNA from 1 species
CGGACGGGUGAGUAAUGUAAAGGAACUUGCCUAGUAGUGGGGGAUAACGUGUGGAAACGCACGCUAAUACCGCAUACGCUCUACGGAGGAAAGCGGGGGAUCUUCGGACCUCGUGCUACUAGAUGGGCCUAUAUCAGAUUAGCUAGUUGGUAAGGUAAUGGCUUACCAAGGCGACGAUCUGUAGCUGGUUUGAGAGAAUGAUCAGCCACACUGGGACUGAGACACGGCCCAG